GGUGAUGAGCAGCAGCAUGGAAGU
rnacentral:misc_RNA from 1 species